ensembl:lncRNA
CCUAGAUCUGUUGUUCUUACUUUUCUAGUUAUCUCAGGUUUCCAAAGUCCCCAGGCUGUUUGGUUGGGGGUGGGGAGGAUGGAUAAGACAGCCAAAAAGGGUAGCAGCCUCUGAUCCUACUUGAGGGUAGCCUCACUUCUCCCACUCUACCUUUCCUUCCUUAGAGGUAGUUGUCUGCUAUAGGAUGAAAAGCAUCCUUCCUUCUUGCUUUCAUAUUCAACCCUUUCUUUCUUCUCUUUACAAAUCCAAGAAGGUAGGAAAGGACCCUUUUGGAGAAACGAGACCACCUCUGCCUCAGCCAGUGCAGCCACCGAAUGAAAAUUCAGAGCGGCGGCUCCCUGGAGUUUCAGGAGGAGACCAGACCGGUAUGAAUAAAUAAUCCACAUUUCAAGCAGGAUUAGGACUAUAAAUGAAAGAUGAAAAGCACAUCAGGGUACCAAUUUGUCACACAUCUACACACAAAAGUGCAGCCUUGUUUUUCUCCUUAUCCCAGCUUACCCCACUUCCCACUGUACUUUGCGGCCAAACAUACACAACCCUGGAAAAGAUUUUUUAAAGUGGGGCAGAGAAAGCAAGACAGAGAGCUGCCAGCCAGACAGACAGGUAAAUGCUGGCGAGAGCGCUUUCUUCUACUUCUGUCCCCACUUCUAUCAAAGCAGCACCUUACUCUUCCAAAGGAAAGAUCUGGGAGUCGACGUGGGAAAGGUACUUUGCCUUCCCCCCUUCAAGUCAAAGCGGCUCAGUCAGCAGCCUGCUGGCCUCCGCACCCCACUGGGAGUCCCCAGUCUGGGCUCACUCAUCAGGGAAGGGUGUGAGAAUUAACAUUUUCUUUGUAGAAG